UACGGAGGGUGCAACCGUUGCUCGGAAUUAUUGGGCGUAAAGCGCACGUAGGCGGUUCGCUAUGUCGGAUGUGAAAGCCCCGGGCUUAACCCGGGAAGGGCAUCCGAAACUGGCGGGCUUGAGUACGGAAGAGGGUCUCGGAAUUCCCGGUGUAGAGGUGAAAUUCGUAGAUAUCGGGAGGAACACCAGUGGCGAAGGCGGAGACCUGGGCCGAUACUGACGCUGAGGUGCGAAAGCGUGGGGAGCAAACAGG
rnacentral:rRNA from 1 species